CUUGGUAAGGACACCCCCAUCAUGCUCUCAUUACCGUGUUUCACAGCUGUAACGCUCACGAGAGGGACCUGGGAAGCGAUUUUGAAUGCUGGUGAUGCAACUUCACUAAAGGUACCAUCACUGGACCAGUCUUCUAGCUGCGAUACAGCUGUUGGCAUUAUUUUUUAGUUUCUGGAGACUGUAGUUUUGUUGCAGUCCCACAUCUAUUCCCUGUAAUUCUGAUAGUAGCAUUUUGUAGGUAAAUCGAGAUAAGCAGCAUCGCUGUCCUGCAAACCCUCAUACUCCACAGGUGUGAACCAUCUCUCUCCACUGCAGCAUGGGCAGUUGGACCGAUGCAGCUCUGGAGUGGGCAGCGUGAUGAGAAAGGCAGCGGGUGUCUAGUUUGGGUGGCAUAACUGUGCUUGUCCUUAUGGACCGUCACUUCUCCACAUGGCCAAGUGCUGCUCCCUGCGCUCAUCGCCUGAAUGCAUUUUAUCACUCGCCAUCCAGACAGUCCUGCAGGGUGUGAUCAUGGCAUCUAAGAAGCUGCGUUGCUAAACCUAUCAGCGCUGCCUGGUCCUAGGCAAGCUCCGUCUCACCUGAUGGUUGUUCGGCCAUCCCCACUCUGUGGGUAUCGGCAUCCUGCAGUGAUACAGGAAUUUGAACUGGAAGAUGACCUUAAAAUGCAGAAAGCUCUAUGGAAGCACCACCAAAGGUGAUGUGACCAGUCAGGGAGUGAUGCUGUGAAGAAUGAUGGGUUGCAUCCUGCUGGUUCCACUAAAGAAAAAGCCCUCUGCUACCCAUAAAGCCUCAUCCAGAUGCAAAAUUGCUCGGGUGCUGCUUCUUGCCUCUACUGGGUGCCUGAGUAUGGAAAUGGGCUGAGAUGUCUACGCUGUGUGUGAGGCAUGGAGUCCUGCUAUGGUUGGCAGAGAUGGGAUCAGUGAAGCCUCAGCAGCUACUCGGUGUCUCC